rnacentral:rRNA from 1 species
UACGUAGGGGGCGAGCGUUGUUCGGAUUUACUGGGCGUAAAGGGUGCGUAGGCGGUCGGGUAAGUCUGGUGUGAAAUCUUCGAGCUUAACUCGGAAACUGCAUUGGAUACUAUUCGGCUAGAGAGUUGGAGGGGGGAUUGGAAUACUUGGUGUAGCAGUGAAAUGCGUAGAUAUCAAGUGGAACACCAGUGGCGAAGGCGAAUCCCUGGACAACUUCUGACGCUGAGGCACGAAAGCGAGGGGAGCAAACAGG